AGCGUGAACAGAAAGACUGCACCUGAUGGGAUCCCUGCCAUAACAGAUGUGUUCUGUCCAGUGAAGGCAGUGGAGAAGCCCUACACUGAUCUUGAAACUGUGCCACGCUAGUAGAGACCGGCUACAAGGAUGGGCAGCUGUUUUCAUAAAGUCAGCCAACCACUUGCUUCAAAUGACCCUUAUCCAGAAGUAUCCGUGAGUGCCUCAUCAACAGAAACUAAAGUGGAGACCUACCUCUCAGAGAAAAACGCACACAUAAGAAAAGCCGACCCACUUCAGUACUGGGAAGAACAUCCUAAUCUGUUUCCCUCUAUGGCUGCUGUUGCGAUCCCAGUGUGCCCCCUGUAGCUCUGUGGACAGUUUUGGAUUUGUUUACAUCUCACCCCAAC